rnacentral:rRNA from 1 species
GUGCCAGCCGCCGCGGUAAUACAGAGGGUGCGAGCGUUAAUCGGAGUGACUGGGCGUAAAGGGCAUGUAGGCGGUUAUAUUAGUCUGAUGUGAAAGACCUGGGCUUAACCUAGGAUAUGCAUUGGAAACGGUAUAGCUAGAGUAUGGGAGAGGGAAGUGGAAUUUCCGGUGUAGCGGUGAAAUGCGUAGAGAUCGGAAAGAACACUCGUGGCGAAGGCGGCUUUCUGGCCCAAAACUGACGCUGAGGUGCGAAAGCAUGGGGAGCAAACAGGAUUAGAUACCCGCGUAGUCC